AUGGUCGAUGUGUGUACUCAAUCAUUCCCUUCAGAAUAGUAAUCUCGUCAUCUUUGUCAAACAAGUUUUUUCUUCGGCGUUUCCUCCAUGACACCGCUAGCCUUCCUCUUAGCAGUCGCCUUCGGUGGGUCGUCUACCACGGGCUUGGGAGAAAUGGGUUUUGAUUUCGGGUAAAAAAUAUCAUACCCUUUAGAAUAGCAAUCUCGUCCUCAAUCGCUGCGAUUCGUGGGAAUUACGAAGACGCAUCUGUAUGAGAAGGUGCGGAGGUUGAGGCAGAAGUACGAGAACAAUGUGAUGAGAGGGGAAAAAAACUGCAAGGACCACCCCUUGUUUUCGAAAACCCACGAGGAAAAAGCUUUCGACUUGUCAAAAAAGAUAUGGGGGAAUGUUGGAGGUAAUGUGUGGGAAAUGGAAGGGCAAAGGUCAGUGGGAGUAGAACCGGUGGUGUGGGUUUGUGGAAGGGAGGAGAAAAGAGUGAGGUUGAGAGAAUGGGAGUGGAUGCGGUGGUUGAGGUGUGUGCGGGGGGUUUUUGGUCAGGUGGGGUUUGUGGAAGCGUCAGUGGGUUGAGUUUGGGAAAGGAGAUUGUGAAAUAUGGGUUGGAGUUGAUAAGCGAUUCUAAGCUGUGGAGUUGGAGGGGAAGUGGAAGAAGUUGAGGGUGGAGGAGAUGGAGCUGUACUUGAAGAUGGUGGGCUUGAUUCGCGAGCAAGCGAAAGUUGUGCUAGGAGCGAUGAAGUCAUAAGGGGAUUGAAUGUUUAGUCAGGUACAUUCUGGAUUUUGUGUUGCUGAUUACUAAUGGUAAGAUAAGGGUGUUAGGUUUGUUUUCGUUUUUGUGUUUGUAGCAUUUUGGCAAUUAACUGGUUAUGGUGAUUCUGUGGUAACUAGUCCUUUUUUGUGUUGUUCAUAACUAAUGCAAAAGGCAAGGGUGUUAGGUUUGUGGUGGUGUUUUUUUUGUUUCUGCAGCAGUUUUGGGAAUUAGCUGGUUAACGAUGAAUUUGUAGUAUCUUUUGUCUCUUUGCUAACAAUAAGCCCAUAUUUUCGGGGAGUAUACCUUCUUCACGUUACAAAUACCUGCAUUCAGCGCAUUUGAGGUUUACUUCAAUGGUUUAUCUUCUCGACCUUGAAGACUGGAAUUGUCAUUAAUCGUUAUGAAAAAGUACCAAGAGAAGACGAGGGAGACCGCUGCCAAUUGCCUGUUAGGAGAUGCUUUGCCCAGUGCUUCCUUGGACGAGAUGCAGAUGCAGCCACCAAGUAAGUUAGAAAUGGCAUGGGCUAGGGAUAGAAGUGCUGCUGCAGCCAACCCUAGCUUGAAAGCUUGAUAGCUUGGUUCUCUACACUCAAAUAUCCAUACCUUCAUAUGUUUCAUCUGCCCAACAAAAAUCAAAUCACAUCAACAUAUAUUGUGCUCAGUUUUCUAAAUCUUGUGUCCGUGCUACUGUAUUUAAGAAGAGAUUAAAAAAAAACUACAGUCACAAACUUGAAUUGGAGGGAGAGUGAAAGAAGAUGAGGGUGGAGAAAUGGAGGCUUUACUUGAAGAAGGCAGACUUGAUUCGCGAGCAAGCAAAACUGAUGCUUGAAGUGCUGAAGUCAUUGGGGGAACGAGGAUGUAUGCAGCACUGAAGUCAUCACGUCAUUGAGGAUCGAAUCAGACUUAUGGUUUCUGUGGUGAUUUCCUCUGCAAAGACAAGGGUGUUGUGUUAACUGGCUUCAUGGUGUUGAUUACUCAAGCAAACAAUGGUGCUUGGGUAAUUGUUCCUUUUGUUUUACUGCAGCUUCAAUCCUAAUCGGCUAUCAGGGAUUUCUUGUUACAUGGUUUCUCAGCUAGCGAUGUGCACAUUUUUAUGGUGACAUACCCUGGUUGCCAGGGGUGCAAAACCUUUCCGUUAAAACAUUUGAAGAUCUUUUGCAGAAUUGUUGUAUAUACUCUCUACAUCUCGUUCUUUCUCUGCAACAGUCAUUUUUCUUGUUAGCGCAUUUGCAGUUCAAUUGCAUGUUCUAGUAAUUUUAGCUUGAUCA